AGCUCAGUAGUAGAGUGCUUGCUUAGCAUGCAUGAGGCCCUGGGUUUGAUCCCCAG
rnacentral:tRNA from 1 species